CAUUGUCAUUGUUAUUUUUAAUGUACUGUGUGUUAUUUUUUUCUUUUGUUUAUCUCAUCUAUGGUUUAGCCUCUUUUGUUACUCUAUUUGCUUUGGUAACCUGGGUAUUGCAUAUAUGUUUGUCUGAAUUAGGGAAGGAAAGGGGAACAACAAAAUGGUGAGACAAGGAUGAAAGGCUAAACAA